AUGCUUACCUGGCAGGGAAUACCAUGACCACCAUGGUGUUUUUCCCAGGAGGAGGCUUAUCCAUUGCACUCUGGAUUUUCUGACCACUGUGAUUUCCCCAAAUGCAGGAAACUGGACUGCAGAGUUUGUGGUAGUAAUGCAAUGCUUUGAACAUUAU